AUGAACGCUGGCGGCGUGCCUAAUACAUGCAAGUCGAGCGGUAACACUUCGGGUGACGAGCGGCGGACGGCAGAGUAACACGUAGGAAUGUACCCCAGAGUGAGGGAUAAGCAUCGGAAACGGUGUCUAAUACCGCAUAACCUCUUCGGAGAAAAGCUUCGGCGCUUUGGGAAACAGCCUGCGCAUGAUUAGCUUGUUGGUAAGGUAAAAGCUUACCAAGGCGACGAUCAUUAGCUGGUCUGAGAGGAUGAUCAGCCUGACUGGGACUGAGAACGGCCCAGACUCCUACGGGAGGCAGCAGUAGGGAAUUUUCCACAAUGGACGAAAGUCUGAUGGAGCAACGCCGCGUGCAGGAUGAAUGCCUUCGGGUUGUAAACUGCUUUUAUCUGUGACGAUUUUGACGGUAGCAGAUGAAUAAAGGAUCGGCUAACUCCGUGCCAGCAGCCGCGGUUCAUACGGAGGAUCCAAGCGUUAUCCGGAAUUACUGGGCGUAAAGAGUUGGCGUAGGUGGCAUGGUAAGUUGAUAGUGAAAGCGCCCGGCUCAACCGGGUAUACAUUAUCAAACUGCCAAGCUAGAGGACGAGAGAGGUACCUGGAAUUCCUAGUGUAGGAGUGAAAUCCGUAGAUAUUAGGAGGAACACCGAUGGCGUAGGCAGGGUACUGGCUCGUUCCUGACACUGAGGCACGAAAGCAUGGGUAGCAAACGGGAUUAGAUGCCCCGGUAGUCCAUGCCGUAAACGAUGGAUGCUAGCUUGUAUUCGGUAUCGACCCCGGAUGUAGCGAAGCUAACGCGUUAAGCUCCCGCCUGCGGAGUUGACGAGCGCAAGCUUAAAACAUAAAGGAAUUGACGGGGACCCGCACAAGCGGUGGAGCGUGUUGUUUAAUUCGAUGAUAAGCGAAGAACCUUACCCAGGCUUGACAUCCUAGGAAGGUCUCCGAAAGGAGACUGUGCCUUGUGAGCCUAGUGACAGGUGAUGCAUGGCCGUCGUCAGCUCGUGUCGUGAGAUGUUUGGUUAAGUCCAUCAACGAGCGCAACCCUUGUAUUAGUUGAAUUUUUCUAGUCAGACUGUCCCUGGUAACAGGGAGGAAGGAGGGGAUGAUGUCAGGUCAGUAUUCCCUUACGUCUGGGGCUACGAACACGCUACAAUGGCCGGUACAAAGGGCAGCCAAGUCGCAAGACGGAGCAAAUCCCAUCAAAACCGGUCCCAGUUCGGAUAGCAGGCUGAAACUCGCCUGCUUGAAGUCGGAAUCGCUAGUAAAGGUAGGUCAGCUAUACUACCUUGAAUACGUUCCCGGGUCUUGUACACACCGCCCGUCAAGUCAUGAAAGUCGCCAAUACCUGACGUAUCAGCUCGUCUGGUCCUAGGGUAGGGUGAUGAUUGGGACU
rnacentral:rRNA from 1 species